rnacentral:rRNA from 2 species
UUCCGUAGGGUGAACCUGCGGAGGGAUCAUUACCGAGUUUACAACUCCCAAACCCCUGUGAACAUACCUUACUGUUGCCUCGGCGGAUCAGCCCGCUCCCGGUAAAACGGGACGGCCCGCCAGAGGACCCCUAAACUCUGUUUCUAUAUGUAACUUCUGAGUAAAACCAUAAAUAAAUCAAAACUUUCAACAACGGAUCUCUUGGUUCUGGCAUCGAUGAAGAACGCAGCAAAAUGCGAUAAGUAAUGUGAAUUGCAGAAUUCAGUGAAUCAUCGAAUCUUUGAACGCACAUUGCGCCCGCCAGUAUUCUGGCGGGCAUGCCUGUUCGAGCGUCAUUUCAACCCUCAAGCCCUCGGGUUUGGUGUUGGGGAUCGGCGAGCCUUUCUGGCAAGCCGGCCCCGAAAUCUAGUGGCGGUCUCGCUGCAGCCUCCAUUGCGUAGUAGUAAAACCCUCGCAACUGGAACGCGGCGCGGCCAAGCCGUUAAACCCCCAACUUCUGAAUGUUGACCUCGGAUCAGGUAGGAAUACCCGCUGAACUUAAGCAUAUCAAUAAGCGGAGGAA